rnacentral:lncRNA from 1 species
CAGGAUAAUUGGAAUUAUCUCAAGGUACAGGAGGCUGGUGAGAUGGGCAUCUUGGCCAGAAACGUUUGGAAACAGCUACAAAAUGACAUACUACUCUUUCCUCAAAAUACUAACCCCAUUCCUAGAAAUCUAGGCCAUAGUUUAGAAAAUAAACCCAGUGUGGGUAUACGGCUGUAGGUUUGUUUGAGGUUGGGGACAAGAUGGAAGCCCUAUGAAAUC